UUUUGAAUGGAUAAGUGUAUUCUUUUCAGUAAAACAUCCAAAGUGUCGCCUCGCCAAAUUACGUACAUUUUCAUUUAUUUCCAAAAAAUCAAUGAAAUAGAAGGAAAUAAUGGCUAAGAAUGUUCGAAUUAAAUGAUUGCCCCAAUAAUUUCUACCUGACGUGGAAUCUGCGGUAGGUAAUCAUUUCACAAUUAUUAGUGGUAAACAAAGUUCAGUAAAUUAGUAAACACGGUCAGAGGCUGUCUCAAAACAUAAUCCAAACCACUUGUCUGGGAUAGAGAAGUAAAACAAAUGUUGGUGAUUCACAGGAAUAUUGGUACUACCUACUCUGCGCACGACUAGUAAAUCGCAACUAAGAGAAAAUGUUGUUUCUCCAACGAUGAGUUAGAAGCAAAUGAACAGACGAAUAAACGAUUUGGAGGCCAUGAUUUUAAUUCACCCAGAAAAGCCUUAGAUACCCGAAAAUGUCUAAUUCACACACACUCAUGGGAUUAUAAUACUUAUAAUGUUUU